rnacentral:rRNA from 1 species
UACGUAGGGUGCAAGCGUUGUCCGGAAUUAUUGGGCGUAAAGAGCUCGUAGGCGGUUUGUUGCGUCGGCUGUGAAAUCCCGAGGCUCAACCUCGGGUCUGCAGUCGAUACGAGCAAACUAGAGUGUUGCAGGGGAGACUGGAAUUCCUGGUGUAGCGGUGAAAUGCGCAGAUAUCAGGAGGAACACCGAUGGCGAAGGCAGCUCGCUGGGACGGUACUGACGCUGGAGGCGACGAAAGCUAGGGGAGCGAACGGG